rnacentral:rRNA from 1 species
ACAGUUGGGGGCGUCAGUAUUCUGAAGCGAGAGGUGAAAUUCUUGGACCUUCGGAAGACUAACAACUGCGAAAGCAUUCGCCUAGGAUGUUCUCUUUAAUCAAGAACGAAAGUUGGGGGAUCGAAGACGAUCAGAUACCGUCGUAGUCUCAACUAUAAACUAUGCCAGCUAGGGAUUGGUGGACGUUUUCGUACGACUCCAUCAGCACCUUAUGAGAAAUCAAAGCAUUUGGGUUCCGGGGGGAGUAUGGUCGCAAGGCUGAAACUUAAAGGAAUUGACGGGAGGGCACCUCCAGGAGUGGAGCCUGUGGCUUAAUUUGACUCAACACGGGAAAAACUUACCAGGUCCGGACAUAGUAAGGAUUGACAGAUUGAUAGCUCUUUCUUGAUUCUAUGGGUGGUGGUGC